GACCAGAGUGAGGGUGGAGAUAAGGCCGAUGGGUCAGAGCGAGAGAGGGAGAAGAUGAAAGGAAGGUGAACGCGAGAACGUUUGAAGAGGGAGCAGAGUGAAGAGAGAGACAGCAUGAAAAGAAGUAUGGAGAAGGAUCAGCAUGUUCCACAACACCAUGGUGCUGGAUGGAGAACAGAACAAGGAGGAGUGAAGGCAGAGAGAGAGGAUUUGGAGGGAGGAAGGGAGCCAGGUGAAGUGGUGGGAGAUUACGCUGUUGAAGCCUCAUGUGUCCAGGCUGAAGAAGAGUUCCUGGGUCUGGUAGCUAGGGUCGACCUCGUUCCCCCAGACACAUUCAGAGCCGGGGGGAGAGCUGACGGGAGGAUGCCUGGAAGGAUCUAGAAUGCCGCCUCGUUUGGCAUGCAGCUGUCGAACUCUUCUCUGCUUUGUUUCUAU